rnacentral:rRNA from 1 species
UACGGAGGGUGCAAGCGUUAUCCGGAUUCACUGGGUUUAAAGGGCGCGUAGGUGGAUUGGUAAGCCAGUGGUGAAAUCUCUGGGCUUAACUCAGAAACUGCCAUUGAUACUAUCAGUCUUGAAUACCGUGGAGGUCAGCGGAAUAUGUCAUGUAGCGGUGAAAUGCUUAGAUAUGACAUAGAACACCAAUUGCGAAGGCAGCUGGCUACACGAAUAUUGACACUGAGGCACGAAAGCGUGGGGAUCAAACAGG